rnacentral:ncRNA from 2 species
UUAGAAUGGCAAGCUUGCAGUGCGAGGAAGCCGGUGUAAACCCGGCACGGUCGCGCCACUGUGAGCGGUGUCCCGACCCUUGUCGUCAUCCGCGAGUCAGACCCCCGCUGCAGCCUUCCUUCAUCU